GUAACGGCGAGUGAAGAGGGAAGAGCCCAAGUUUGAAAGCUGGCGUCUUCGGCGUCCGCAUUGUAAACUCGAGAAGCGUUUUCCGCGCCGGACCAAGCUCAAGUCCCUUGGAAUAGGGCAUCAUAGAGGGUGAGAGUCCCGUACUUGGCUUGGAGUCCCCGGGGCUUUGUGAUACGCUCUCCAAGAGUCGAGUUGUUUGGGAAUGCAGCUCAAAAUGGGUGGUAAAUGCCAUCUAAGGCUAAAUAUCGAGGAGAGACCGAUAGCGAACAAGUACCGUGAGGGAAAGAUGAAAAGAACUUUGGAAAGAGAGUUAAACAGUACGUGAAAUUGCCGGAAGGGAAGGGUAGGGAGUCAGAUAUGCUGUGCGGAUUCAGCCUUGUCUUUGGACUUGGUGUAUUUUCGUAUUGGCAGGCCAGCAUCGGUUUGUGCCGCUGGAUAUAGGCUCGGGGAAUGUGGCUUUGUCUUCGGUCAAAGUGUUAUAGCCCCUUGCUGAGUACAGCGGCAUGGACCGAGGCACGCAGCGCACCCUCUGGGCGGGCCCUCGGGCACCUUUGCGCUUAGGAUGCUGGCUUAAUGGCUCUCUGCCACCCGUCUUGAAACACGGACCAAGGAGUCUAACAUGCAUGCGAGUCUUUGGGUGGUAAACCCAUGGGCGUAAUGAAAGUGAAUUUAGGUGGGAUCCCUCACGGGUGCACCAUCGGCCGACCUUGAACCUUUCAUGGGGACGGGUUUGAGCAAGAGCAUUCAUGUUGGGACCCGAAAGAUGGUGAACUAUGCCUGAAUAGGGUGAAGCCAGGGGAAACUCUGGUGGAAGCUCGUAGCGGUUCUGACGUGCAAAUCGAUCGUAAAAUUUGGGUAUAGGGGCGAAAGACUAAUCGAACCAUCUAGUAGCUGGUUCCUGCCGAAGUUUCCCUCAGGAUAGCAGAAACUUGUAUCAGUUUUACGUGGUAAAGCGAAUGAUUAGAGGCCUUGGGGAUGUAACAUCCUUAACCUAUUCUCAAACUUUAAAUGUGUAAGACGCCCUUGUUACUUAAGUGAACUUGGGCAUGCGAAUGAGAGUUUCUAGUGGGCCAUUUUUGGUAAGCAGAACUGGCGAUGCGGGAUGAACCGAACGUGGGGUUAAGGUGCCGGAAUACACGCUCAUCAGAUACCACAAAAGGUGUUGGUUGAUAUAGACAGCAGGACGGUGGCCAUGGAAGUCGGAAUCCGCUAAGGAGUGUGUAACAACUCACCUGCCGAAUCAACUAGCCCUGAAAAUGGAUGGCGCUUAAGCGUGUUACCUAUACCUCACCGUCGUGCGUUAUGCGAUGCGUCGACGAGUAGGCAGGCGUGGGGGUCCGUAUAGAAGC
rnacentral:rRNA from 1 species